UACGUAGGGUGCGAGCGUUGUCCGGAAUUACUGGGCGUAAAGAGCUCGUAGGUGGUUUGUCGCGUUGUUCGUGAAAACCGGGGGCUUAACUCUCGGCGUGCGGGCGAUACGGGCAGACUGGAGUACUGCAGGGGAGACUGGAAUUCCUGGUGUAGCGGUGGAAUGCGCAGAUAUCAGGAGGAACACCGGUGGCGAAGGCGGGUCUCUGGGCAGUAACUGACGCUGAGGAGCGAAAGCGUGGGGAGCGAACAGGAUAGAA
rnacentral:rRNA from 1 species